rnacentral:rRNA from 1 species
UACAGGGGGUGCAAACGUUGCUCGGAAUUAUUGGGCGUAAAGCGCGCGUAGGCGGCUACCUAAGUCGGAUGUGAAAGCCCCCUGGCUUAACUGGGGAAGUGCACCCGAAACUGAGUAGCUAGAGUGCGAAAGAGGGUCGCGGAAUUCCCGGUGUAGAGGUGAAAUUCGUAGAUAUCGGGAGGAACACCGGUGGCGAAGGCGGCGACCUGGGUCGACACUGACGCUGAGGCGCGAAAGCGUGGGGAGCAAACAGG